GAUGAACGCUGACAGAAUGCUUAACACAUGCAAGUCUUUGGCGAAUCUGUGCUUGCACAGGCUAGCCAAGGCGGACGGGUGAGUAACGCGUAAAGAACUUGCCCUGCAGACAGGGAUAACAGACGGAAACGACUGAUAACACCUGAUACAGUUGCCGGCACGCAUGUGCCUGGCAAUGAAAAGAGAUGCUGCAGGAGAGCUUUGCGUCCUAUUAGCUUGUUGGUUAGGUGACGGCUCACCAAGGCGAUGAUAGGUAGCCGGCCUGAGAGGGUGAACGGCCACAAGGGGACUGAGAUACGGCCCUUACUCCUACGGGAGGCAGCAGUGGGGAAUAUUGGACAAUGGGGGCAACCCUGAUCCAGCAAUUCUGUGUGCACGAAGAAGGUUUUCGGAGUGUAAAGUGCUUUCAGCAGGGAAGAAGAAAGUGACGGUACCUGCAGAAGAAGCGACGGCUAAAUACGUG
rnacentral:rRNA from 1 species